GGCGGCGUGCCUAACACAUGCAAGUCGUACGAGAAAGUUGGCUUCGGCCGAUGAGUAAAGUGGCGCACGGGUGAGUAAUGCGUGGAUAAUCUGCCCUUUAGUUGGGAAUAACGUACCGAAAGGUGCGCUAAUACCGCAUAAUGCCUGGCAACACAAGUUGUCCGGCCAAAGAAGGCCUCUGUUUACAAGCUUUCGCUUCAGGAUGAGUCCGCGUACCAUUAGCUUGUUGGUGGGGUAAUGGCCUACCAAGGCUGCGAUGGUUAGCUGGUCUGAGAGGAUGAUCAGCCACACUGGAACUGAGACACGGUCCAGACUCCUACGGGAGGCAGCAGUGAGGAAUAUUGCGCAAUGGGGGCAACCCUGACGCAGCAACGCCGCGUGAGUGAGGAAGGUUUUCGGACCGUAAAGCUCUGUCGAGUGGGAAGAAGUGUAUCAUGGCUAAUAUCCGUGAUAUUUGACGGUACCGCUAGAGGAAGCACCGGCUAACUCCGUG
rnacentral:rRNA from 1 species